CCUUCCUGCACUUCACAGGAGGCAACCAUGAGCUCUGUGUCUCAUCUGCACCUGGGCACGUGGUCAUGUUGGAUAACCCACGUGGCAGGAACUAAGGGCACCUCUAGGAGCUGAGGUGGUCUCUGAACAACAGGAAAUUGAAGCCUUCAGUCCAACAACUGCAAAGAACUGAAUCUUGCCCAUAAGAUGAGUGAGCUUGGAAGUGGAUCUUUUCUCUGGUUAAAGCUCAAUGCAAACUUAGCCAGCCAGACACCUGGAUUAGAGCUUGGCUGAGACCCAAGCAGAGGACUCAGUGAAACAUGCCUGUGCUCUAUUUAUUAUGUAAGCAUUAAAAAGCUGAUAAGAA
ensembl:lncRNA novel transcript